GUCCACGCUGUAAACGAUGGAUGCUAGAUGUCGGGGAGUACUCUUCGGUGUCGUAGUUAACGCGUUAAGCAUCCCGCCUGGGGAGUACGGUCGCAAGGCUGAAACUCAAAGGAAUAGACGGGGACCCGCACAAGCGGUGGAGCAUGUGGUUUAAUUCGACGAUACACGAAGAACCUUACCUGGACUUGACAUAGUAAGAACUUUCUAGAGAUAGAUUGGUGUCUGCUUGCAGAAACUUAUAUACAGGUGCUGCACGGCUGUCGU
rnacentral:rRNA from 1 species